GGGUCCUGAAAGUCGAAGGAAUAGGGUAUUGAGAGAGCCACUCGGGGUUUGGUCUGGAUAGAAAAUGGGAGCUAGAGUUGGAUGUAGGAAAAGGUGCUUUUGUCUCCUCCUUACUUCAUCACAUCCUUGAACAUUUUCAAGUAAAGAAGUACGGAUACACUGUCACACACUACAACUUCUUUUGGAGAAGAGGUUUCAAGGUCAGAGAGCGGGUGCAAAGGGACAGGAAGAUGAGCGGGUUUGGCAUGUAUGAUGUGAAAUUCCCAAUGAAUCAAUAAGAUGUGAAAAAUAUUUUUAAAUGUA